AAAAGUAUAAAAAAAUAGUAUGUUUGCUUUGGGCUGAUAAUGGGAAAUAUAUUUAUGUAAAAUUUUAAUGGUAAAAAAUUAAAUUUCUUUAAAAUGUCAGACAAUAAUACUAUGCAAAAUGUGAUAUAGAAGAAGCACUUUUUAUUUUUAUUUCUCAGGGUUUUUACCUUAAAUAACUAAUUACUGGCCAUAUUUGGGAAGUGUUGAAAAAAAGCAGACAAUCUGAGGAUGAUGUUGACUUGGGGAUCCAAAGGCACAGUACACAUCUUUGUAAUGUUCUGUGAUGAAAUAGAAGGAAGUGUGUGUAAAUAAUUCUGCUGCACGCUGAACACAAAGGGUGCUUCAAGGAGAAGCUUUAUGUUUAUCACCUUGUCUUUACCUCCACUACAAACGUGUCAAUAAUGUGCUCCCGGGGGAGGAACCAGUGGGCUACUUCCUCUUCAUCCAUCACUGGAGCCAGAUGAAACUGCUUCAGGUAAGUGUUGAUUAAUUCUCGAACUGAUUUGAUAUCUUUUGGUUCCAUUGGUCUCAAACCUGAAGUCUUUGUAACCUUGUUGGAGGGGAAACAAAACAAAUCCAGAAGUUCAGGUAGAAGAGGAGUGAAAC